rnacentral:rRNA from 1 species
ACGGAGGUGGCAGGCGUUACUCGGAUUGAUUGGGUGUAAAGGGAGCGUAGGUGGCAAAUUAAGUCAAAGGUGAAAUACUCUGGCUCAACCAGAGAACUGCCUUCGAAACUAAUUUGCUUGAGUGAUGGAGAGGAAGAUGGAAUUCCCGGUGUAACAGUGAAAUGUGUAGAUAUCGGGAGGAACACCAGUGGCGAAGGCGAUCUUCUGGACAUCUACUGACACUGAGGCUCGAGAGCUAGGGGAGCAAACAG